rnacentral:lncRNA from 1 species
CUCUCUCUCUCUCUCUCUCCCUCUCUUCCUCUCCCUCUCUCUCCUAUCUCUCGUCUCUGUCCCCUGUCACUCGCGCGCACACACACACACACGCACACACACUUUCCUCCCUCUUCCCCCACCUCCCUAUGCCAUUUUCUGCAGUCAGCGUUCAAAAAAAGUACGAAAACCAUCGGGUAAUUUCCAACUGAACCGAUUACGGACGGCGAAUUUAUCCAAACACUUAAGCAAGGAGAGGAUCCUAAAAUCGAAAAACGAAGGCGGAAGGGGCGAGAAGAACGGGGUGGAGUUGGGUGGCGGAGCGAGUGGGACGUUAACUGGCCAAUAGUUUGCAACUGCCGGUCAACACGCGCAGCCUACUCAGCGCUGCUCCGGAGGCGCGGGACGCCGCCUCCACGUGAGCCGCGCUCCUCCCAGUGCCCGGGACGGUGUCGGGGGCGGGCUGCACGGCGAGAAGGGCAAAAUAAAACCAGCCCGAGAGGCCCUGGCUGGGGUUGAGACUGCAGGAGUAACUUCUGCACCGAGGCAGCGCGCAGCCAGUCGGGGAAGAACUCUGCAACCUGACCGAAAGAAAGUCCGACCCUCUCGGGAGGGCUGCCAGGAUGCUGGAGCGAGUGUCAGGGUCCGAGACUCCCAAGUCGGGCGAGGGCUCCUGCCCCUGGCCAUUGGGUACCCCCCUCCGACCAACACCCCCGUCCCGCUUCAGAGCGUCGGCCCCACAGACCUAGAUGGGCAAGAUACCAAAUACUUUUCUUGGAAUACAUCAUCUUGAUUGAAAACUACUAGGAUAUUUUUGAAAAAAUAGCUCAUUAGCUGGCUGGCCUCCGCCUUCCGGGUUCAAGCAAGUCUCCUGCCUCUGCCUCCUGAGUAGCUGGGAUUACAGGUGGAAUCUUGCUCUAUCGCCCAGUCUGGAGUGCAGUGGCGCAAUCUUGGCUCACUGCAAGCUCUGCCACAAGAGGCCUUUCUUAAUACAGCUAUUGAGGUGAGAAAUUUUGAGAAGCUUUCAUUUAAAUAAACCCAUUGAAAGCAUA